GCUUGAGCAGGGGUAGAGUGGGGGCGGCAUGAGAAGGAAUAACAUCUAUCUGCUUAAUUCGGAAAAAAAAAAAUGACAGAGACCACAGCCAGUGACUCACCAAAGGGCACUAUCUUUCAAGGCUGGAGGUUCAUGCUGUGACUGAUGCAAGUCUCAGCAGACUUUUUGAGAGAGACUUAACAUACAUGUCUGUCCUGGAACUGUCUAAAUUUUUUUGUGACAGCACUGAGUAAAAUAGGACCCACAUCUGCCUCCUUGUCAUCAACAAACACUGGCAGCAGGUAUAGACUUAUUCUCUCCAAUCCGGCAAUGGACAGACAUGGCAAGACGGUCUGACCUGGUGAAGCAUUGAGUCUGCAAGGAAAAUUAACCAUAGUAACAAUGAGGCC